CGCUGUUGAACGGCUCAGAAAACGCACGACUUGUAGUGGUGUCACUGGUGCGCAACUAAAUUGUGCUGAUCUUGUUUCUGUGCAGCUUCUCGGGGAUCACCCGAAAACCAGACGCAGCUCUUCAGAGAUCCUCCAGCAAACGGUGCCCAGUCGCCCCUUAAGCCUCUGCUUCCAGUCCCCGACCCCGAACGUCUUCUGCCUUCGGAUUUGGACGGAUCCUCUUCCGUCGAAAGAAAAUUGCCCAAGCCUCGUAGGGAUGUUUCAGCCGCUGGAGGCGAUGCUCCCUCGCGUGACUUUAAGCUUCCCGUGGAAGAGAAAAUGGAAGAAACCACCGGAACGGGUGACUUGGCAGGCGGGUCGCAGUGGGGGAUGGAGCCUCGGUCUUCAGCUGUUGGGGACCGCAAGAGAGACGGCCGCAUCUUUCACAGCAACUGUAGUGAGAACGAUCUGCCUUCCAAACCGGGGAUUCUGUCUUCAGAUCUUGCCGCAGAGCCCAGCAAGCUCAGCUCAGGUGAUGCUGGAGAGACCCCCAGUAUGUAUUCCGGGUCAUCGGAAAGAUUACGUAUGAGCACGAGCGACAGCGACCCCAUUUUGAUGAGUGAAAACAGCUCAGCCGGCCAUUCCAUCCCGAGCAUCACACGGGCGAGCGUUGCUGUUGGCGCUACUCUUCCACCCGAGGUUGGCACUGAUGAAGAAGACACGUCCUUCAGGAGUCACCACCUGCUCAUGGAGAAGAAUCCAAGUAUGGAUCUCAUGGAGGUUCCUAAGGACGGGGCCUUUUUGCGACGUUCCCCGAGGGCUUUCCCAGAUUCAACAUCUGACGGUCAACCAUUGAACGAAGCCAAGGACCCCCAGGCGGGCCCUCCUCUCCCAAAGAAGAAAGUUGAGCCUGAUGAAGCGGCCGCUUCAAGUGACUUUCGGAUGGUUGUGGUGGCAUUGGCUCUGGCGGUUCUGGCAAGUGCUGCUUUUGUGCUGUAUAAGAAGAAAUAAGCACCGGAGUGACCGAUCGGUUGCUGACCGAACUGAAAUUCACACCCAGCCACCGUCUCUUCCUACCGUUGCUUGAUCCUCUACGGAAAGGAAGCACAAGGGAACUUGCUUUCUUUAGAUCGCUUUCCGCCACCGAUGCGUGAUACUCCCGCAAGCGUUGAACUCUUAUCCUCACAACAUGCCUUGCUGAUUUUCUCUGGUCUGCCUUUGGGUCACUAAUGACGUCUUUGGAUGCAGGUUUAUUUUAGAUCGGUCAGUUCAGUGGCCUAUUCCCCCCCCUCCAAAUAGCCAAGCAGAUCAGAUCUAGGACUUUUCUCAGAAAUUACAGGAAAACAAAAAUCUGGACAUCAAAGCAAAAUCCUGACCGAUCGCUUCCACAUAGUUGGCGAGGGAAUUGCAGGAUCUCGGCGGAGUUUCUUUUUCUAGAAAAAGGUCAUAUCGCAAAGAAUACACCGGCUGACGUGGAGGAGUGACCGGCUUCCUGAUUUCAGUGGGUAGGUCUCUUUGAGGUGGCUUAGAAAAGAAAAAUUUAGCAAGCAACAUCUUCACUAUGUCCUGAAUACGACGUUCUUUGGGUACGCAAUAUGUUGUUGCUGUAUCCUUAGAAACGAGCAUCCGGUUCUUCAGCUCGGUUUUUUUCUGGAAUUAACAUCCGCUUAGGGGAUUUAGGGGAAAGCAGUGGACUUCACUGAACUGUUUGGGAAUCCUUGUUCUUCCUUUUCUGUUUCUUGGAAAGGAGAAGCAUUAGAAGUUUGUUCUACGAUUAUUACAGGAACACCCUGUAACUCGGAUGGCUGCUUGCUGGAAUUAUAUCCAUUGAUGCCAGUGGAAACGGGAAAUUCUUCAUUCUGUUUUUUGCGGAUGUUAUUUUUUUCUUCUGCAGAAGAGGUUAAGGUGUCAUCUUUGGAAAGUUGUUUGUUCCCGGCCAUUAAAUGACACCUAGUCCUCGAUUUAAGGACUGUAAUGAAAGAUGAUAGAUUGAGAUUAGUUUGCUUGCAGCGUUCCUGUGGUCGAACGGUCAUAAGCAGGGGUGGGCUUCAAAUAAUUUAACAAUCGGUUCUUUAACUGGUUGCUGAGCGGGCAUGGCCUAGUCCACCUCCUGCACCACCCUGGGAGCAAAAAUGAGCCACGGGGGAAAGGCCAUUUUCGCUCUCCCCGGGCUCUGGAGGCCAGAAACGGGCUCGUUUCCGGCCUUCCGGAACUUUCGGGAGGCCUGUUUUUCGCCCUCCCCGGGUUCCAAAGGUUUUCCUCGCGCUUCCAGGAGGGCGUAAAUGGCCUCCCCAGGCUCUGGAGGCUCUCUGGGCCCUUCUGGAACUUCCAAGAAGCCUGUUUUUCACCCUCCCCGAGCCUCUGCAUGGGCCCUGCAUUUACUUGCGAUCCAAAACAGACCAAGGCAGGGGAGGAGCAGGGUGUGGUGGGUGGGUGGGGCCAGCCAGGGGUGGGGUUUGCUGAACUGGCCAUAAAAUUAACAACCGGUUCACCUGAACCGGUGUGAACCGGUAGCAGCCCACCCCCCUGGUCAUAAGGCGAGGACUACCUGGUACCCAAGGUGACCAGAUUCCACCCUGCUGAGAAUUUGGGAAGACAUGAAGGCUUCGUUGCUUGCCUUUGCUUAAUGAGCAAGUUUUCCUAAAAACGAGAAGCAGGAAAUUCUGGGGACUGAAAGGCACAGAUUGCUAAGUGUAAGAAACACGGAUUCAGUGUGUUAUGUGUACCCAUAUAUGCACUGUCUCCCCAGGAGCUCAUCCGGGUGUGUCCAUUCACACGACUUGUGUAUAUGUGUUGAUUCAAACUGAUCAUGGUUCCUUUUUUUUUUUUUAAAGUAGCGUUUUCUUUCUACUUCUGACAGACAGUCAGCCCAAGUUCUACUUUUCUUACAUUUAUUUCUUUCCAACGUUCUGUAGCGUUGGGAAAAUUAAAGCACCGAAACUUCCGAAUCGAAUAGCUUUCUUUCCGGUCAUUAACCAGAAGAAAGAACGAAGGGGAAGCGGGGGGGGGGGGGGGGGAUAGUUUUAAACUAUCCAGGACAUUCAAAAAUAAAUGAGGAGUGAUGCAUAGAAAAUAUGCUUAA
ensembl:lncRNA